CAAUAAUACUUCAUUGUCACACGUACCCAGGUACAAUGCAAUGCUUUGUUUUCUAUACAAUAAUGU